rnacentral:lncRNA from 1 species
UGCUAAUCUUUCUUCUUAUCUAAUCCUUGAUCUCUGGUCUAUCAUGAAUUCAAACAUGUCUAUCUAUGAAUUUCAUAGACCUACGGGCACACAUCUCGAACCACCAAAAUCUUCAAAGCCUAUUAUAGCAUCUAGAUUUGAGAUAGACCCCGAAUACAUAGAAUUUGUUCAAAAACAACCUUUCUCAGGAGAAAGUGAGGAAAACCCAUACACCCACCUAAGAGAGUUUUAUCGAGUCUGUGACCUCCUUCGCAUAGAAGGAA